rnacentral:rRNA from 1 species
UACGUAGGCAGCGAGCGUUGUUCGGAGUUACUGGGCGUAAAGCGUGCGUAGGCGGUUUUGUAAGUUUGGUGUGAAAUCUCCCGGCGUCAACUGGGAGGGUGCGCCGAAAACUGCAAGGCUGGAGUAUGGGAGAGGUAGGCGGAAUUCCUGGUGUAGCGGUGAAAUGCGUAGAUAUCAGGAGGAACACCUGUGGUGUAGACGGCUUACUGGACCAUGACUGACGCUGAGGCACGAAAGCCGUGGGGGAGCGAACAGG